UUCUUUCAGGUCUGUGGUUGCGGAUUUUCCUAGUCCAAGGCAGAUGCGGUCAAAAGGAUCCACGUAAGUCACCAACGAAGCGCUGCUUUGCUGGGGCGAUCAUGGCGCAUCCUAGGGGUAAGUCGCACCGUCUGCGAAUGAGUUUUGCAACAUAGGGUUGCACGGGCGAGAGAACGAUGUCGUUUUGGCUUAGUUCCAGUGCGCGAGUGUGGGGGCAAAGACCAGGUCAGCUGAAAGAA
rnacentral:ncRNA from 1 species